rnacentral:rRNA from 1 species
GAUGAACGCUGGCGGCGUGCCUAAUACAUGCAAGUCGAGCGAAGCGAGGACGGGUGAGUAACACGUGGAUGACCUCCUAUGAGACUGGCUUAACUUCGGGAAACCGGAGCUAAACCGGAUACUAAUAGAUGGAUCCGCGAUGCAUUAGCUAGUUGGUAAGGUAACGGCUUACCAAGGCAACGAUGCAUAGCCGACCUGAGAGGGUGAUCGGCCACACUGGAACUGAUACACGGUCCAGACUCCUACGGGAGGCAGCAGUAGGGAAUCUUCCGCAAUGGGCGAAAGCCUGACGGAGCAAUGCCGCGUGAGUGAUGAAGGUCUUCGGAUCGUAAAACUCUGUUAUUAGGGAAGCGGUACCUAAACAGAAAGCAACGGCUAACUACGUGCCAGCAGCCGCGGUAAUAC